rnacentral:rRNA from 1 species
CUGGGCGUAAAGCGUGCGCAGGCGGUUUUGUAAGACAGGCGUGAAAUCCCCGGGCUCAACCUGGGAACUGCGCUUGUGACUGCAUCACUCGAGUACGGCAGAGGGGGGUGGAAUUCCACGUGUAGCAGUGAAAUGCGUAGAGAUGUGGAGGAACACCAAUGGCGAAGGCAGCCCCCUGGGUCGAUACUGACGCUCAUGCACGAAAGCGUGGGGAGCAAACAGGAUUAGAUACCCUGGUAGUCCACGCCCUAAACGAUGUCAACUAGGUGUUGGGUGGGUAAAACCAUUUAGUACCGUAGCUAACGC